UACGUAGGGGGCAAGCGUUGUCCGGAUUUAUUGGGCGUAAAGAGCGUGUAGGCGGCCAGAUAGGUCUGUUGUGAAAACUCGAGGCUCAACCUCGAGACGCCGAUGGAAACCAUCUGGCUAGAGUCCGGAAGAGGAGAGUGGAAUUCCUGGUGUAGCGGUGAAAUGCGCAGAUAUCGGGAGGAACACCCGUAGCGAAGGCGGCACUCUGGGCCGGAACUGACGCUGAGGAGCGAAAGCGUGGGGAGCAAACAGG
rnacentral:rRNA from 1 species